rnacentral:rRNA from 1 species
AUUGAACGCUGGCGGCAUGCCUUACACAUGCAAGUCGAACGGUAACAGGUCUUCGGAUGCUGACGAGUGGCGAACGGGUGAGUAAUACAUCGGAACGUGCCCGAUCGUGGGGGAUAACGCAGCGAAAGCUGUGCUAAUACCGCAUACGAUCUACGGAUGAAAGCGGGGGAUCGCAAGACCUCGCGCGGACGGAGCGGCCGAUGGCAGAUUAGGUAGUUGGUGGGGUAAAGGCUCACCAAGCCGGCGAUCUGUAGCUGGUCUGGGAGGACGACCAGCCACACUGGGAAUGAGACACGGCCCAGACUCCUACGGGAGGCAGCAGUGGGGAAUUUUGGACAAUGGGCGCAAGCCUGAUCCAGCCAUGCCGCGUGCAGGAUGAAGGCCUUCGGGUUGUAAACUGCUUUUGUACGGAACGAAAAGGUUCUUUCUAAUAAAGAGAGCUCAUGACGGUACCGUAAGAAUAAGCACCGGCUAACUACGUGCCAGCCGCCGCAGUAACAC